GGAUGAACGCUGACAGAAUGCUUAACACAUGCAAGUCUUUGGCGAAUCUGUGCUUGCACAGGCUAGCCAAGGCGGACGGGUGAGUAACGCGUAAAGAACUUGCCCUGCAGACAGGGAUAACAGACGGAAACGACUGAUAACACCUGAUACAAUUGCYGGCACGCAUGUGCCUGGCAAUGAAAAGAGAUGCUGCRGGAGAGCUUUGCRUCCUAUUAGCUUGUUGGUGAGGUAACGGCUCACCAAGGCGAUGAUAGGUAGCCGGCCUGAGAGGGUGAACGGCCACAAGGGGACUGAGAUACGGCCCUUACUCCUACGGGAGGCAGCAGUGGGGAAUAUUGGACAAUGGGGGCAACCCUGAUCCAGCAAUUCUGUGUGCACGAAGAAGGUUUUCGGAUUGUAAAGUGCUUUCAGCAGGGAAGAAGAAAGUGACGGUACCUGCAGAAGAAGCGACGGCUAAAUACGU
rnacentral:rRNA from 1 species